rnacentral:rRNA from 1 species
AACGAACGCUGGCGGCAUGCCUAACACAUGCAAGUCGAACGAGACCUUCGGGUCUAGUGGCGCACGGGUGCGUAACGCGUGGGAACCUGCCCUUAGGUUCGGAAUAACUCCCCGAAAGGGGUGCUAAUACCGGAUAAUGUCCUCGGACCAAAGAUUUAUCGCCUUUGGAUGGGCCCGCGUUGGAUUAGCUAGUUGGUAGGGUAAAAGCCUACCAAGGCGACGAUCCAUAGCUGGUCUGAGAGGAUGAUCAGCCACACUGGGACUGAGACACGGCCCAGACUCCUACGGGUGGCAGCAGUGGGGAAUAUUGGACAAUGGGCGAAAGCCUGAUCCAGCAAUGCCGCGUGAGUGAUGAAGGCCUUAGGGUUGUAAAGCUCUUUUACCCGGGAUGAUAAUGACAGUACCGGGAGAAUAAGCUCCGGCUAACUCCGUG